rnacentral:rRNA from 1 species
UCUACGGGAGGCAGCAGUAAGGAAUAUUGGUCAAUGGGCGCAAGCCUGAACCAGCCAUCCAGCGUGCAGGAAGAAGGCCCUAUGGGUUGUAAACUGCUUUUGUCAGGGAAUAAACCUGUGGAUUUACUCCGCCGCUGAAGGUACCUGAAGAAUAAGCACCGGCUAACUCCGUGCCAGCAGCCGCGGUAAUACGGAGGGUGCGAGCGUUAUCCGGAAUUACUGGGUUUAAAGGGUGCGUAGGCGGCCAUGUAAGUCAGGAGUGAAAGUUUGCGGCUCAACCGUAAAAUUGCUUUUGAUACUGCAUGGCUGGAAUCAGGAUGAGGUCAGCGGAAUGUGGCAUGUAGCGGUGAAAUGCAUAGAUAUGCCAUAGAACACCAAUUGCGAAGGCAGCUGGCUAGACCUGUAUUGACGCUGAGGCACGAAAGCGUGGGGAGCGAACAGGAUUAGAUACCCUGGUAGUCCACGCCCUAAACGAUGCUUACUCGACGUAUGAGGCUUGUCUUUGUGCGUCCAAGGGAAACCGUUAAGUAAGCCACCUGGGGAGUACGACCGCAAGGUUGAAACUCAAAGGAAUUGACGGA